rnacentral:lncRNA from 1 species
CUAUAAGUGUAUAGAUGAACCCCUAUGACUAAUCUGAACAGACACUCACGAUAUCGACGAACCCUAGGUCGUCAUAUUCUUUUUCUUCGCACAAUCAACUAAAAUUUUCGAGCCAAAAACUAGCAAAUCAAUUCAAAUCAAACUAAUCCUUCUAAUUCAGCAUUAAAAUGAUGUUUCCAACUAGAUUCCCUAGUUCCCAAUCGAAUUCAAACUCAAAUCACGGAAUCAGGGCAAAAGAAUCCCUAAAUUUGCUUCUCAUGUUCGACGCCUUAGGGUUUAGAAGCUCAAUCCCAACCUACCCGAACUCAAACCAGUAAUACAAGCCCAGAUAGUGAAGGAAUUCAUAAAUUUUAGAAUCAAAAUCGAGCAAGAGAACAAGGAAUUUUGAAUUUCUCUUUGGAACAAACAAAGGAAGAACAAUGAGAUACAAUUCAUAAUUCAAACACGGAUGAACAGUAA